GCCCCGUUAGCUCAGUUGGUAGAGCAGAAAGCUCUUAACUUUAAGGUCGGGGGUUCGAAUCCCUCACGGGGCA
rnacentral:tRNA from 1 species